CCACCACCAAAGCAUUCUCUGGUGUUGAAGGCCCUGCAAAGCAGCAUCGCGGUGGCGGAGCGUCGUUUGCGACGCCCAACGCACAAAACAAGCGGUGAGUGCUUUGGGGUGGGGUGACUGCGUACCUUUUGUAUAAUGGGUCAGCGACUUAUAUUCUGUAGCAAGGUUAACCGCAUAGGGGAGCCGUAGGGAAACCGAGUCUUAACCGGGCGUUAAGUUGCAGGGUAUAGACCCGAAACCCGGUGAUCUAGCCAUGGGCAGGUUGAAGGUUGGGUAACACUAACUGGAGGACCGAACCGACUAAUGUUGAAAAAUUAGCGGAUGACCUGUGGCUGGGGGUGAAAGGCCAAUCAAACCGGGAGAUAGCUGGUUCUCCCCGAAAGCUAUUUAGGUAGCGCCUCGUGAAUUCAUCUCCGGGGGUAGAGCACUGUUUCGGCUAGGGGGCCAUCCCGGCUUACCAACCCGAUGCAAACUGCGAAUACCGGAGAAUGUUAUCACGGGAGACACACGGCGGGUGCUAACGUCCGUCGUGAAGAGGGAAACAACCCAGACCGCCAGCUAAGGUCCCAAAGUCAUGGUUAAGUGGGAAACGAUGUGGGAAGGCCCAGACAGCCAGGAUGUUGGCUUAGAAGCAGCCAUCAUUUAAAGAAAGCGUAAUAGCUCACUGGUCGAGUCGGCCUGCGCGGAAGAUGUAACGGGGCUAAACCAU
rnacentral:rRNA from 1 species